CCGAGCGGGCGACUGAGGCCGCGGCCUAGAGCGCCCCCUCCCCGCCCGCGCGCGCGCGCGCGCGCAGCUGCGAGAGAGGCGCCAUGUUGGAUUAGGGCGGGUUUUGCGCGGAGUCGGACCCCGCCCCGCCUACGCUGGAGACCGUUGGAAGAAAGGGGGGCGGGCAUGGCUUGUGAGGGCGUCGGGUGGGACUGGGCAGGGAACGGAGGAGGCCAGCCUUGUGGAGCGGGCCAGCAUGGGGGGAGGGGGCUUUGAAGGUAUUUCGGGUCAGGCUGAGGCUGGAGCGCGGGCUCCAGUGUCAGGUGUGGGAACCAAGGUCGCUGAGGCCAGUGCGGAGUUCUCAGUAUUACUGGGAUCUGCUCUCCUAGUGGAAAGGUGUCAAGCAGGCCCUGAGGCUGACCCUGUGCUGAGGCAUCUGUCCUCCUGGAGCCGGGGUCUGCCUCCCCUUCUGAGGUAUUUGGGCCUCUUUGCGUUUGUAUGAUUCACUCACAGGUCGGCUGCAGGGAGUCCCAACAUCAUCAUCAUGCAAAACUGAGGGUGGGAGGGGUGUAUGAGGAGAUGGAAAACCUCCUGCUGCAGGCACCACAAGGAAUUGUACCCGUGCCUGCUGAGCCAGUCUGCCUUUGGGUUCAGGUGCCUGUUGAUGUGGAUCGCUCUGAGGGAAAUGAGGAACUGUUCUGCUCACCUUGUUAUUUCCACGUGUAGUGCCAGACACCUAGUUCCCCCUUGGUUGUUUAAAUACCCCUCUAUAAGCUUAUUUUCUGAUUGAACCAGGAUGUGGGUUCCCCUUAGGGUCGAGCCUGGAACCCUGGCAGAGCUAACCUGACUGCUCUCAGCUGCCCAGAGGCCCUUGGUAUGUGUUGUAAGGACUAAAGGAUUUAGAAGGCAGAGGAGCAUGGCUUUGUGGAUGCUGUUGUAGACUGACCACUGUUAAAGGAGUUGAACAUCUGUGCUGGAACCCAUACUUGAUUUUUCAUGUGCUGUAUGGAGUCCUAUAUCUUUCAUAUGAAAGUUUGAAGACUUCUGAUGCAUGCUUGUGCCCGUGGAGCAAUCCCUAUGCACAGCACUAGGAGUCCUUGCAGUUGGAGGCAUAGUGCCUCCUGGAGCUCUGGAGCAAGAAAAUAAAUUCCUGGGUAAAACCAAAUAACUUUUCUUGGCACUGAUGAUGAAGCCUUGCACAUGGAGGAGAGUCCACAUCCAAGAUGUAGCCUUGAGCACUGCUGACAGUGAUGGAGCUCUGAUCAGGAUGUUGUCCAGGAAGGGAUACAGUGAACUCCCGGAUAGCAUUGAUGUUACAGCCUCCUCUUCCAAUGACUCUGGAAAUUACUGUUGAUGGGACAGAAACCUUUUUUGAUCUACACAGAAAAAAAAAGUAUUAAGUCAACUGGAGAAGUGUUGGUAGUCUGAAAUAAGAUGAGGAUCAGCAGGAAGCUAUUAAGUUUGAGAGAGAGAUCCCGAGUUGGUGUUUAAGAGGAGAAAUUUAUCACUUCUACUCUCAAACUAAUACAUUCAUUUUAACUGCAAGAUGGGGAACAAUGAAAGAAAAGUGUUCUGUCAAAAAAGAAACAUAAAAAGGGGUAACACUACUGGCAUGUCUGACUUUGCAUAUGCACACAUACCUUCUUACAACCUCCUUCCAUCCUUCUUCUCUCUUCUGACCACGUUUAGGGCUAGCUAUGGUUAAUUUUCCAUUUGGAGAAGAAAGGGGAGAAGGUCCAGAUUUUGUGCAAGUGGACAAGGAGUUGCUGGUUACUUCACUGAUAACCUCAGACAGCCUUUAAAAAAAAUAAUUCAGUGCUUUUAGAUAAAUUAUUUCUUCAAACUCAGCGUAACACACAAACCAUGUGGCCAUUUUUCUUUAGCCUUUGGGCACUAAGCUUGUUAGGAGCUCCAGCAUUUUAGAAAAUCAUAACUUGAUAGAGUUAGCACAUAUCUGCCCAGAUACAUAAGUGCACUAAGCACAAGUGAUCAUUCAUUAAAGAUAGUUAAUAUACAUAUGCAGCAAAAUAUCGAAACAGUAUUUUAGCAGCUAACUAAUAGCUAAUUUGGUUUUGCUAUUUUUUCCCCUUCUGCUGAAAGCUAGGAACAGGUUCACUGCAUCUGAGGAAGAUGCAGAGAAAUAAACUACCUAGAAUACUGGAGAAGCAGUAUAUAUAUAUCAAUAAAAUAGCAGUAUGGACUUCAUUUUUUCCUCUUAUGUGUCUGACAGGAUUAGGAUUAACCAAUCAGUAUGAAUUUGUGUAUGCGGCAUUUUGGAAUGCACCUAGAAACAUAAUAUUCAAAGUUUCAUUUGAACUUCUAAAACCACCCAUGUAAUAUCCACUGGAUUAGGUGCCACUUGAACUCAGCAGCACGGUACCUGAAACCUAUGCUAAAAUACUCCCCUUUUACUUGCUGGCAUUGCUAAACGACUAGCCACUAGCCAUGGUACCUGUUGCCAAAGAACACUUCCUAUACGAACGCUGAACUGACUGAAAUGCUUCUGUCUGGGAAAGCGUAUAUAGCAAGACAACCCACUGGUUAAAGAUCUGUGGAUAGGCUUCAUGCCUCAGCCUACUGGUUUAAUAUAAUUCAUGUCCUGAAAAGGUUUGGUCUCCUCACACAAUAUUUACAUUCAUAUAAAUAGAAAAGCAAGGACAUUUGUGCUCUUAUCUAUUUUAUUCUUGUACUUUACAAGACUCUAACGAGGCUAUGAAAAACAGAUCUUGAAAGUCAUUUUCAGCAGGAAGUUCCAGUUAUUUUAUACUGGGAGUUAUUACGUACGGUCACAAUAACUUACUUUAUAGAUGACUUGCCAGAAAUUGCUUUCCUCUCGUCCUUUGGAAAAGUGACAAGUACCGAUGGCUGUUUCUUGGUGCUCAGCGUGUUAGUGGCUGCUGUGGAAGAAUGACUGUCACUUUUGUGGCUGCUGUUGCUAUUGCUGCUUUCGUCACUACAGCUGGAAAUCCUCAUGUUGUCACUGUCACCACUUUCACUGGUACUGCUGCUCUUCGACUCGCCACUGGCUUUUUCUGGUUGACCAUAGGAGAUUGGGAGCUGAUCAUCAAAUAGAAUCUGAACAUUAUCUGGGUGAAUUUUGUUUUUCCUGCUUUUCCUCUUGGAGCUGGCUGUGGUGAUGGUAUUGUUCCUUUUCCCAUGGGAACCUGCUAACGUAGUCCACGUUGCAGAUAUACCUAUGGUGGUUGUAGUGGUGGCACUAGGAGGCUCCAUUAGGACCUCAGG